CAAUAGCGUAUAUUAAUGUUGUUGCAGUUAAAAAGCUCGUAGUUGGAUUUCUGCGCCGCGCAGCUCGGUCCGCCGCAAUGCGGUGCGACUGUGGCUGGAGCGUCGCAUCCUUGUGGAGACCUUUGAUGCCAUUGAUUUGGUGUCUUAUGGGAACCGCAUCGUUUACUGUGAAAAAAUUAGAGUGUUCAAAGCAGGCAUACGCCGUGAAUACAUUAGCAUGGAAUAAUAAGAUAGGACUUUGGUUCUAUUUUGUUGGUCGGAGGCCAAGGUAAUGAUUAAUAGGGAUAGUUGGGGGUAUUCAUAUUUAAUUGUCAGAGGUGAAAUUCUUGGAUUUAUGAAAGAUGAACUUAUGCGAANGNAUUUAGNAAGGAUGUUUNCAUUA
rnacentral:rRNA from 1 species